rnacentral:rRNA from 1 species
ACGGGUGAGUAACACGUGAGUAACCUGCCCUUGACUCUGGGAUAAGCCUGGGAAACUGGGUCUAAUACCGGAUACGACCAUUCCACGCAUGUGGUGGUGGUGGAAAGCUUUUGUGGUUUUGGAUGGACUCGCGGCCUAUCAGCUUGUUGGUGGGGUAAUGGCCUACCAAGGCGACGACGGGUAGCCGGCCUGAGAGGGUGACCGGCCACACUGGGACUGAGACACGGCCCAGACUCCUACGGGAGGCAGCAGUGGGGAAUAUUGCACAAUGGGCGCAAGCCUGAUGCAGCGACGCCGCGUGAGGGAUGACGGCCUUCGGGUUGUAAACCUCUUUCAGUAGGGAAGAAGCGAAAGUGACGGUACCUGCAGAAGAAGCGCCGGCUGACUACGUGCCAGCAGCCGCGGUAAUACGUAGGGCGCAAGCGUUAUCCGGAAUUAUUGGGCGUAAAGAGCUCGUAGGCGGUUUGUCGCGUCUGCUGUGAAAGACCGGGGCUCAACUCCGGUUCUGCAGUGGGUACGGGCAGACUAGAGUGCAGUAGGGGAGACUGGAAUUCCUGGUGUAGCGGUGAAAUGCGCAGA